GGCGGUUGUGGGAUUGUUCGAUGGCCUUGGAAUCACUACGGUGGGUUUAGUCGAUGACGGGUUGAGGUGUUCUUCCCCCCCUGGACACCGAGAGGACAACACGCGAACCCGUUAUCGAAGCAGAGGUCCCGAUCGACGUGUUGUCCCGAUGUGCCGAUUGACAGUUCAGAUUUUGUAGGCAACGAUCGGCCGACGCGAUUGAUGGUAUUCGUUUUGUCGGAAGUGAUGGACCGACCCGAUUGAUGGUUUCGAUUUUGUGGGAAAUGAUAGACCGAAUCGAUUGACGGUUUUGAUUUUGUGGGGAACGAUGGACCGGCCUGAUUGAUGGUUUUGAUUUCGUGGGAAAUUAUGUAUCGACCUGAUUGAUGCUUUUGAUUUUCGCAUCGUGCGGUGCUUUCCUUGGAACCAACAUCGGCUAUAGGUUGCAUUCUUGGCUUUCGUGCUAGGGAUGUGGCUACUAGUUGGGUGGUUUUAGGGAUUGUUGGUCGUAAAGGUGCAUGAGUUGUGUUUGGUUUGUUACGUGUCGUUGGAUGUCUGCAUAUGCAGCAACGUCGACACGGGCAGACCUCUUCAUCUAUUGUGAAAGCGUGCUUUGCUUUUGCAUGUUGUGGGUUUCUAGCGUCGCGUUCCUGAAUUGUGGCAUUUUAUGGUUUGAACAGCAUGUCUUUAAUCAUGUCACACGUAUGUGUGCCACGUGAAAAGGCAUGAAGCUAAUCUCUUCGAUCCAUUUCGUCUUUGUCUUUGGCACUGAUGUUGUGGCCUGUUGAGGAAGCUGGUCUCAUGGAUGCGGUGCCUGACUCGGUGAUUUGGUUUUAUUAGCCAAUUUGGUUGCCACAAGUAGAUGUUUUUGCCUCUCCUUCAUAUGACCGCCCAUUGUG
rnacentral:misc_RNA from 1 species